rnacentral:rRNA from 1 species
GACGAACGCUGGCGGCGUGCUUAACACAUGCAAGUCGAACGGUACCUAGCCGAUAGUAAUAUUGGCGAAAGUAUAGUGGCGGACGGGUGAGUAACGCGUGAGCAAUCUACCUUAAAGAGGGGGACAACAUUCGGAAACGGAUGCUAAUACCGCAUAAGACCACAGCACCACAUGGUGCAGGGGUCAAAGGAGAAAUCCGCUUUAAGAUGAGCUCGCGUCCCAUUAGCUGGUUGGUGAGGUAACGGCCCACCAAGGCGACGAUGGGUAGCCGACCUGAGAGGGUGAUCGGCCACACUGGAACUGAGACACGGUCCAGACUCCUACGGGAGGCAGCAGUGGGGAAUAUUGGGCAAUGGGCGAAAGCCUGACCCAGCAACGCCGCGUGAUUGAAGAAGGCCUUCGGGUUGUAAAGAUCUGUCCUAUGGGAAGAAGAAGUGACGGUACCAUAGGAGGAAGCUCCGGCUAACUACGUG